GCUCAGAUUGAACGCUAGCGGGAUGCCUUACACAUGCAAGUCGAACGGCAGCACGGACUUCGGUCUGGUGGCGAGUGGCGAACGGGUGAGUAAUGUAUCGGAACGUGCCUAGUAGCGGGGGAUAACUACGCGAAAGCGUAGCUAAUACCGCAUACGCCCUACGGGGGAAAGCAGGGGAUCGUAAGACCUUGCACUAUUAGAGCGGCCGAUAUCGGAUUAGCUAGUUGGUGGGGUAAUGGCUCACCAAGGCGACGAUCCGUAGCUGGUUUGAGAGGACGACCAGCCACACUGGGACUGAGACACGGCCCAGACUCCUACGGGAGGCAGCAGUGGGGAAUUUUGGACAAUGGGGGAAACCCUGAUCCAGCCAUCCCGCGUGUGCGAUGAAGGCCUUCGGGUUGUAAAGCACUUUUGGCAGGAAAGAAACGCCGCGGGUUAAUACCCUGCGGAACUGACGGUACCUGCAGAAUAAGCACCGGCUAACUACGUGCCAGCAGCCGCGGUAAUACGUAGGGUGCAAGCGUUAAUCGGAAUUACUGGGCGUAAAGCGUGCGCAGGCGGUUCGGAAAGAAAGAUGUGAAAUCCCAGAGCUUAACUUUGGAACUGCAUUUUUAACUACCGAGCUAGAGUGUGUCAGAGGGAGGUGGAAUUCCGCGUGUAG
rnacentral:rRNA from 1 species